UUUAUGGAGAGUUUGAUCCUGGCUCAGGAUGAACGCUGGCGGCGUGCCUAAUACAUGCAAGUCGAGCGAACAGACGAGGAGCUUGCUCCUCUGACGUUAGCGGCGGACGGGUGAGUAACACGUGGAUAACCUACCUAUAAGACUGGGAUAACUUCGGGAAACCGGAGCUAAUACCGGAUAAUAUAUUGAACCG
rnacentral:rRNA from 1 species